GCAUUUCUAAUGAUGGAAGAUCUAUUGGUCAAGUAAAAGUUACUCUGUUAUGAAGAGGAGGUUCUCAGAAAGCAAAACAUGAAACCACUUUCCAGGUCCGUGAGGAAGAAUAAACAGUCCAAAGAUGCAUCUGAAAGCUUCUAAACGCUGCACUGGUUCAUGUUACAUGGAAAUAAAAAGAAUUAAAUAUUAAUGAAAAUCA